rnacentral:rRNA from 1 species
CCCCUAGUAACUGCGAGUGAAGCGGGAAAAGCUCAAAUUUAAAAUCUGGCGGUUCUGCCGCCCGAGUUGUAAUCUGGAGAAGCGUUUUCUGUGCUGGACCGUGUACAAGUCUCUUGGAACAGAGCGUCAUAGAGGGUGAGAAUCCCGUCCAUGACACGGACGCCCAGUGCUAUGUGAUACGUUUUCAAAGAGUCGAGUUGUUUGGGAAUGCAGCUCAAAAUGGGUGGUAAGCUCCAUCUAAAGCUAAAUAUUGGCGAGAGACCGAUAGCGAACAAGUACCGUGAGGGAAAGAUGAAAAGCACUUUGGAAAGAGAGUUAAACAGUACGUGAAAUUGUUGAAAGGGAAACGCUUGAAGUUAGUCGCGUCUUACUUGACUCAGCCUUGCCUCGGCUUGGUGUAUUUCAUGUGAGACGGGUCAACAUCGAUUUUGACCGGCAGAGAAGGGGAGCGAGAAUGUGGCAUUCUUCGGAGUGUGUUAUAGCUUACUCUCAUAUGUGUCGGUUGGGAUCGAGGCCCGCAGCGCGCCCUUGUGGCCGGAGGUUCGCCUUACGUUACGCGCUUAGGAUGUUGGCAUAAUGGCUUUAAGCGACCCGUCUUGAAACACGGACCAAGGAGUCUAACAUGCUCGCGAGUGUUAGGGUGGAAAACCCUUGCGCAGAAUGAAAGUAAAAGUUGGGAACCUCCGCAAGGGGGUGCACCGACGCCCGGCCCAGAAGUUUACGGACGGUGCUGCGGUAGAGCGCGUAUGUUGGGACCCGAAAGAUGGUGAACUAUGCCUGAAUAGGGCGAAGCCAGGGGAAACCCUGUGUGGAGGCUCGUAGCGAUUCUGACGUGCAAAUCGAUCGUCAAAUUUGGG